rnacentral:lncRNA from 1 species
UUUAUUAUUUUAUAAAUAUUAUUUAAGUAGAAUCUAUUGUGCAGCAUGGGUUACUUGCUAGUAUACAUUAAAAUGGAGACUUCUCAAUGGAGAAGUCUCAGUUUGACACGUGGAGCUUCGGAUGCAAUGGGAGGGAGCAAUGUGGCAAAAAAAAAAAUUAUGGCACUUCGAAUUCGAAGCAAUGGAGAGGAAAUAAUAGGCCAUGCGGGGGAGGA